CCUAAAGGCCUAAGGCUGGCCCUGAAUACACCUUACAGUUGACCAUGGAAUAUCUAGCAGGGAUGAAACUUCAAGAUCUGAUUUAUUGCAAAGGUAGAAUCCAAUCACAGGAACACAUUUGAAUUCACUGAGUUGUUCAGAAUGAUCCAUUUUUUCACAAAUGCUUGUAAAUGCAGACUGCAUGGUGACGUGCUUAAUUUUAUGCACCUGUGGCUAUU